GAGAGCGGUCAAGACUGCUGUACCUGUUUCCAAGUCCACUGAGUUAACUGCUGUCAGUGUAGAAGCUUUCACUACAGAGAAUCCUAGGGCUAUUCCAGUUAUCCCCAAGUCUGUCCAGUCUUCUCCAGAACCUCUAGAGUCCAUCAGCGCAGCCCAGGAGGGCACGCCAGAGUCAAGCCCAGUGCCUGUCCUUACAGCCCAGGAGGGCACGCCAGAGUCAAGCCCAGUGCCUGUCCUUACAGCCCAGAAGGGCACGCCAGAGUCAAGCCCAGUGCCUGUCCCUGAGGCCCUGGAAAGUGCUUCAAGGUCCGUACCGGAAUCCAUUCUUGCAUCUCCGGAACUGGUUUCCCAAGGAUGCACCCUCUCUGCCCAUGUGGUCAUGGCCCCUGAGUUUGUCCCAAGGUCCUUCACGCGUCAAGAGUUUGCCCCAGAGGCCAUAAGGGCUAUUCCCAAGAAUUCUCCAGUAAGACAAGUCCACAUCCCCAGAAGGACCACCAACAGGAUCCCCAUCCCACCCACCCUAUUAGCUAGUCCUUUUGGAUCCCAUAAGCCAGAACCUCCUUGGUCCACCUCAAACUAUUCCCCAGGAUUAUUUUCCUCCCUCCCAGUCCCACCCUUUAUGUUUUCUGGCUACCCUGGAGUUCCAAGUUUUGUUCCCAACCCGCCCCCCCAGUUGGUACCUCCCUGUACUGUUUUGCCCACUGUGGACGCCUGGAGGCGUCCAUUGGGAGGAGGGUAUUGUCAGGAACCUGCCCGGACAGUCUUGUCUUUGUUCGGUGUUUUACUGUUUGUUUUGUGUCUAAGCACAUGGUUCUGUCUCUGUUUGUGUCUGCCACAUGCUCCUCUCAUCCCACCUCCUUGUUUCCCUUGGUCACGCCCCCUUGUUUAGCCCUUGUCUGCUUGAUUGUUUUCACCUGAUCCUCGUGUGCUGCUCUAUAUAUUGGGUUUCCUUUCCUUGUGUCUCUGCUGGUUCGUUUUUGGUGUUUACCUGUCUCUUGGC
ensembl:lncRNA